rnacentral:misc_RNA from 1 species
ACAAUCAUUUGGUUAAUUUGCGUUACUUGCAGUCUUCAGGGUUUUGUUACCCAAAAAGUUU